GGAGAGGUACCGAAGCGGUCACAACGGCACCGACUCGAAAUCGGUUGGGGGCUUUGCCGCCCCACGUGGGUUCGAAUCCCACCCUCUCCGCCA
rnacentral:tRNA from 2 species